rnacentral:tRNA from 1 species
GGCUCCCGAUCGGUUCACUCGCCGGUGGGCCUCCCCCCACGGAAACGCCCUCGGUCCGGCGAGUGGAGGUUCGAAUCCUCCGGGAGCCA